AGGGCCUUGAUUAUAAACAGAUAUCAUAUUCAUAGAUUAUAAAAGAAAUAUUUAAUGCUACAGGUGAAGCAAGCUAUGGACUAGACAGUGUAUUCAGCUUUCUCUGCUGAAAUAAUGUGACCAAAUCAAGUGUCACCUGGAAAGAGGAAUGUCAAGGGUGCUUAACAUUAACUCCAAGAUAGCCAUUGGAAAGUUCAAGCCAAAUCUGCUACAGCAAACACAAACAUAAAGUGGCAUACUUGUGUGACAGGAAACGAGGAAUAUGUAUGUCUGGACUGAGAAUCUAAUGGAAGAUCCCUGUAUCACUAGUUAGAUCCCACGGAAAUAUAGGAUCCUUUACUAAUCAAGUGUCAUCUGCAGUGUUACAAAAGAAUAUUGGAUUUAUAUCGAUAAGAAAAAAGAACUACCAGAAGGAGACAGUAAAGAGGAACAGACAUAUCACACCAUAAGACAUGCUUCAAUAUCUGAAUAUACAGAAUGAAUUUUGCUCACUGCAGAUCCUUGUGAAAGAACACCUUUGUUGUAUUGACAUAAAAACAAAGGAAUUGUCAGGAUUCUUGAACAUGACGCAACUGGCUCCAAACGAUGGCAAUUAAAAAUGCAUACAUGUUUACAUUGAUCUUUGUUAGCCAAUAAGACAAAAAGCAAAAUAGCAAGUUUAUCCUAUUAUCAUACAUGUACUGAAUGUAUUCUCUUUAUUUUGUUGAACUACAUCAAGAGUUUAAAAAUUGUACACUAUCAGAUACAGUUUAUGGUGGGAUUUCUCUAACUUUUAUGAAUCUGUUUGCAAAAUCUAUACUUUAAAGUUACAAAUUAUUACCUCUGAUACAUUGUAUGUUUUCUUUGUAAAUUAUUACAGUAUUUUUGUAUGUAUGAAAUGAUAACCGAAUCACUCUCCAUUUGCCCACACUUUUUACCAUGUGAUGCUUCAGUGUAUUGAUAUCUAACAACUGAUGACCAGGCAGUCUUCAUUUAACAGUGUAAUACAUAAAACAGUUUUAUCUUAAUAUUUUUAAAACAAGCAUAACAUGCCAUGAAUUGAUUCUGCA